rnacentral:rRNA from 1 species
UACGGGGGGGGCAAGCGUUGUUCGGAAUUACUGGGCGUAAAGGGCGUGUAGGCGGCCGACUAAGUCCGACGUGAAAUCCCCAGGCUUAACCUGGGAACUGCGUCGGAUACUGGAUGGCUUGAAUUCGGGAGAGGGAUGCAGAAUUCCAGGUGUAGCGGUGAAAUGCGUAGAUAUCUGGAGGAAUACCGGUGGCGAAGGCGGCAUCCUGGACCGACAUUGACGCUGAAGCGCGAAAGCUAGGGGAGCAAACGGG